rnacentral:rRNA from 1 species
AGCGAACGCUGGCGGCAGGCCUAACACAUGCAAGUCGAACGAACUCUUCGGAGUUAGUGGCGGACGGGUGAGUAACACGUGGGAACGUGCCUUUAGGUUCGGAAUAACUCAGGGAAACUUGUGCUAAUACCGAAUGUGCCCUUCGGGGGAAAGAUUUAUCGCCUUUAGAGCGGCCCGCGUCUGAUUAGCUAGUUGGAGGUGUAAUGGACCCCCAAGGCGACGAUCAGUAGCUGGUCUGAGAGGAUGACCAGCCACAUUGGGACUGAGACACGGCCCAAACUCCUACGGGAGGCAGCAGUGGGGAAUCUUGCGCAAUGGGCGAAAGCCUGACGCAGCCAUGCCGCGUGGAUGAUGAAGGUCUUAGGAUUGUAAAAUCCUUUCACCGGUGAAGAUAAUGACUGUAGCCGGAGAAGAAGCCCCGGCUAACUUCGUGCCAGCCGCCGCCGUAACAC